AACGAACGCUGGCGGCAUGCCUAACACAUGCAAGUCGAACGAGACCUUCGGGUCUAGUGGCGCACGGGUGCGUAACGCCUGGUAACCUGCCCUUAGGUUCGGAAUAACUCCCCGAAAGGGGUGCUAAUACCGGAUAAUGUCUUCGGACCAAAGAUGUAUCGCCUUUGGAUGGGGGCGCGUUGGAUUAGCUAGUUGGUAGGGUAAAAGCCGACCAAGGCGACGAUGCAUAGCUGGUCUGUGAGGAUGAUCAGCCAGAAUGGGACUGAGACACGGCCCAGACUGCUACGGGAGGCAGCAGUGGGGAAUAUUGGACAAGGGGCGAAAGCCUGAUCCAGCAAUGCCGCGUGAGUGAGGAAGGCCUUAGGGUUGUAAAGCUCUUUUACCCGGGAUGAUAAUGACAGUACCGGGAGAAUAAGCACCGGCUAACUCCGUG
rnacentral:rRNA from 1 species